GCCAAAAUUUGCGGUUCAAAACGGCGUUAACUGGGAAAAUACCAGUUGUAGUGGUACAUAUAGUUGGGUACUAUUACAGCAAUUGGUAAAAACUACUAAAUGAAGGCGUAACAGCUUUGAAAAGGGCUCGUACGGCCCUGGGGGCAAAAGAAUGGGGGAAGGGGAGUUACUGUAAUUCCCUAGGGUUAGCCAGCAGCGAAAUCCAGCCUCUCCUUCAGAGCAGCUCACGGGUGUGCUGAUGUCCGAUGUCCCCAAACACGAUGAGUCUGCGACAAAGCGGAAUUUAAUCUCGGAAGAAGAAAAGCUCCCUUACCCCAGCUUCCUGUGAAACGAUGCAGCAUUAAGGAAACAAAAGCAAAAAGGGAGAAGAGAAACCCCGCUAAAUGAUGAAGACAAUGCAAGGUAUCACUCCAGCAGACUUGCUGGAGCAUGCUGCUUUGGUAAAAUAGCCUCAGAGGCAUGGGCUACCUCCAGACACCCAGCAGAGCACAAGACAAGAGACAGACAUCGUUUUAUUUCAAGUUGUUUAAGACAUAAUGCCAAAUGCUAAAACAAGCUUUCUGCUGUCUGUAUGCUACUAUCAGGAAAUACCAUGUAUAGUGGAGAAAAGGACCUGUUUGUAUAGUUAGCCUGUUGUACCUAGAAAGAUUGGUUGGAAGGUUUAUUUUCAGCCAUGAAGAUCAAGCAGACACCCAACUUGCAAUUCCUUGGGUGAGAAACGGGAAAACAACUCUCAGUUGCUGUAGCUUUGUUUUGUAGCUUGCUAGCUGUGUCAGAUCCUCACUGAGAAAGACUCGGGGACUGCCACUGAUAGUGUCUAAUAGAAAAGCAUAUAUGCCAUAUCUCCUGCUUUCUUGAGUUCUAUGUCUUUAAAACUUAAAACAUUUUUUUCCAUUCAAACAAAAGUCUGCCCCUGCCACAUUAUUUCUGAUCACAAAUCCUGGUCAGUGUGUCUCAGAUUUUCAAGCAGCAUCAGGGUAUCAAUGUCAGAAACCGACACCAAACAGCUGUUGGCUCUUUUAAU